ACAGCUUUCUGUUCCUAGAAGAAAAAGCAACCUUGUUCCUCCCUCUCCCACACUGCCUUCAUCCCCCCACCCUCUGCUGCUCCCAGAACCAGGACUCUUGUAUCUAGGCAGGAGCUGGUGACUCCGGCCCCACACUUCUCAAGGCCUUAUGCCAGCUGUAGCUCUUACCUCCCUGACACUAUAGAGCAGGCACCUGUACCCACAGAGGAUAAGGCACCUCAGCAGGUUAAGGUGCCUUGAAGACUCUUCUGAAGGUAAAGCCCGAGAGCUGGAGGGAGGACGGGCGGUAUGCUGUCCCUGAACUUUACCUGUCUGGAUUCUACCAGUGAUGACUCAUGGCUGGGUAUUGUGAAAGAAAGUUUCUGUGCUCCACCUAUGAACGGUGCAGUGUUUGAAACACCCACCAGGGGCCUUUGUGUGUGUGUGUGUGUGUGUGUGUGUGUGUGUGUGUGUGUGUGAACAAGUGCACACCUGUGUGGAAGUAAGCAUGCAUGCGUGUGUGUGGAGGCCAGAGGUCAAUCUCACCUCCAGUGCCAUCCACUUUUUCUGAUUAUCUUUUUUGUUUUGUUUUGAGACAGGGUCUCUCACUGGUCUGGAAUUCACUAAGUAUGCUAGGUGGUCUGGCUGGAGAGUCCCAGGAACCCAUCUCCCCUGUCUCCACCUCCCCACUGCCUGGAUCCCAAGCACACAGCACCAUGACAUUAUUUUACACAUAGGUUCUGGAUUAUCAAACUCAGGUCUUGGGCGGCAGGCCCCUUCAGGACUUCCUUAAUGAUAUUUCACUGUGUGCCCAGAACACAGGACAAACAAAGGUCUCUGUGGAAAGGGAAGUGAGCGAGGAGACACUCUGUGCAGGGAGAUGGUAGACGAUUGUGGCGGGGAGUAUGGCUCUCACGUGGACUCUCUGUUGCUUUAAUUCGGCAGAGACUCCAAGAGAAUGUUUGCUCACACCCAUUAUGCUCUCUCCAGUGGGAAUCUUCUGAUGGUGAGCGAGAGCUGAACUGUACCCGAGGCUUUCCCAUGCUCACUGCAUUCACAGGGAUUCUCCCCUAUGUGCUGGGGGCUCCUCCUCUCGUCCUCCUCCUUGAACUCAUCCCUCCCUGUGUUCUGUGCCUGCCUCCUCUUUGCCGACCUCCCCACAAGCUCUGACAAUAAUGGCCUAUGCAGCACAGAUAGCUACAUGUCUUCACCUCCUACUUGUUCAUGAACCCAGUCUUCUCGCCCACCACCUCACUGCUCAUCACUCAGUGGCCUCCUAAUCCCCCAGGCAAAGGUCCUCCAGGUGCACUUGACCCAAUCCUGAGCUGUUGAUCCCUCCCUCCAGGAAAUGCUUCUGUCUGCAUUCCAGACUCCCUGUUCGGCUCUCUACACGUCCCCUCCCAAUGCUCUCUUCCCCUUGCCUGGAGCUCCGUGUGACAUCCCAGCAACUCCUGCUCUUAGAGCAGACUGGCACAGAGAUGGGUUCUGACAAGCUGGGUGAAAAUCCUAGGUCUGUCAUUGAGAGCUAUGUGGAUAUGUCGUUCAUCGUCUCUGUGCCUCCGUUUACUCAGCUAUGAAAUGGGUACAUUUAUAGGCAUCCCGGGUGCUGGUGGUACUCUGAAGUUCAGACCCUUCACCAAUCCCCUUCCUUCCCGAUGGUGUUUCACUGCUCCUAAAUUAGGAUCAAUACAAGGGUUUAGAAUACAAAGCACACUUGAAAAGCACCAUCUGGAUCUAGUGAUGUGGCUCAGUGGGUAGAGUGCUUACCAAGCACAAGGCACAUGAACCAGGCUUUGGUAAUAUGCACCUGUAUUAGACAGGUGGAUCCCAAGUUCAAGGUCACCCUCGGUUAUGUGGAAAGUCUGAGGCUAGCCUGUGCUACAUAAGAGCUUGUCUCAAAAGAAACAAUAAAUAAGUACUGGAAAGU
rnacentral:lncRNA from 1 species